rnacentral:rRNA from 1 species
CCUACGGGUGGCAGCAGUAGGGAAUCUUCCACAAUGGGCGAAAGCCUGAUGGAGCAACGCCGCGUGGGUGAAGAAGGUCUUCGGAUCGUAAAACCCUGUUGUUAGAGAAGAAAGUGCGUGAGAGUAACUGUUCACGUUUCGACGGUAUCUAACCAGAAAGCCACGGCUAACUACGUGCCAGCAGCCGCGGUAAUACGUAGGUGGCAAGCGUUAUCCGGAUUUAUUGGGCGUAAAGGGAACGCAGGCGGUCUUUUAAGUCUGAUGUGAAAGCCUUCGGCUUAACCGGAGUAGUGCAUUGGAAACUGGGAGACUUGAGUGCAGAAGAGGAGAGUGGAACUCCAUGUGUAGUGGUGAAAUGCGUAGAUAUAUGGAAGAACAUCGGUGGCGUAAGCGCUUUACUGGGCCGUAAUUGACGCUGAGGAACGAAAGCCAGGGUAGCAAAUGGGAUGAGAUACCCCAGUAGUC